CCUACGGGCGGCAGCAGUGGGGAAUAUUGGACAAUGGGGGGAACCCUGAUCCAGCCAUGCCGCGUGUGUGAAGAAGGCCCUCGGGUUGUAAAGCACUUUCAGUGAGGAAGAACGCCUGGUGGUUAAUACCCAUCAGGAAAGACAUCACUCACAGAAGAAGCACCGGCUAACUCCGUGCCAGCAGCCGCGGUAAUACGGAGGGUGCGAGCGUUAAUCGGAAUUACUGGGCGUAAAGCGCGCGUAGGUGGCUUGAUAAGCCGGUUGUGAAAGCCCCGGGCUCAACCUGGGAACGGCAUCCGGAACUGUCAAGCUAGAGUGCAGGAGAGGAAGGUAGAAUUCCCGGUGUAGCGGUGAAAUGCGUAGAGAUCGGGAGGAAUACCAGUGGCGAAGGUGGCCUUCUGGACUGACACUGACACUGAGGUGCGAAAGCGUGGGUAGCAAACAGGAUUAGAUACCCGUGUAGUC
rnacentral:rRNA from 1 species